rnacentral:rRNA from 1 species
UGGGGAAUAUUGCACAAUGGGCGCAAGCCUGAUGCAGCCAUGCCGCGUGUAUGAAGAAGGCCUUCGGGUUGUAAAGUACUUUCAGCGGGGAGGAAGGGAGUAAAGUUAAUACCUUUGCUCAUUGACGUUACCCGCAGAAGAAGCACCGGCUAACUCCGUGCCAGCAGCCGCGGUAAUACGGAGGGUGCAAGCGUUAAUCGGAAUUACUGGGCGUAAAGCGCACGCAGGCGGUUUGUUAAGUCAGAUGUGAAAUCCUCGGGCUCAACCUGGGAACCGCAUCUGAUACUGGCAAGCUUGAGUCUCGUAGAGGGGGGUAGAAUUCCAGGUGUAGCGGUGAAAUGCGUAGAGAUCUGGAGGAAUACCGGUGGCGAAGGCGGCCCCCUGGACGAAGACUGACGCUCAGGUGCGAAAGCGUGGGGAGCAAACAGG